rnacentral:rRNA from 1 species
UACGUAGGUGGCAAGCGUUUACUCGGAAUCACUAGGCGUAAAGCGCAGGUAGGCGGUUUGAUAAGUCUGUUGUGAAAGCUCCCGGCUCAACUGGGAGAGGUCAACGGAAACUGUCAGGCUAGAGUGUGGUAGAGGUAGCUGGAAUUCCCGGUGUAGCGGUGAAAUGCGUAGAUAUCGGGAGGAAUACCUAUGGCGAAAGCAGGCUACUGGACCAUCACUGACGCUGAUCUGCGAAAGCUAGGGGGAGCAAACAGG